AAGGAGGAGUGACGGCAGAAUCAGACAAUCGCAGCUAGGGGCCGGCUCUGCACCUGGCUGUGAGUCCCCUCGCCUCUUCCCCUCGCUCCGCCAUUUCUCGGAAACCUCGCCUGAGGAGCGGUUCCCGCGUUGGGCCCAGCCCGGGCAUCGGGCCAAGGAAGCGCUGCUGCCCUGAACCGCCUGGAGGUCGGGGAUUUUCCAUUCCCAAGGCAUGGGUGCAUGGAGGAGGAGUAAAAGCCCAAGAGUUCCCUCAUGAGGAGAGGCUGCAAAUCCAACUGUGAGAGCUGCAAGGUUGAAAGACCCUCCCUGUGCCAGGAUGGCAACUGGAGAUCCAGGCAGAGCUCAAAGCUGGUGGAGAAGCCGCAUGGAGGGGAGUAGCCUCACAAGUGCUUGGAAUGUGGGAAGGGUUUCAGCUGCAGCUCCUGGCUGAUCCGGCACCAGAGGAUCCACACUGGGGAGAAGCCCUAUGAUUGUGGGAAGUGUGGGAAGAGCUUCAGGCGCUCACACUUGAUCCAACACCAGAGGAUCCACAAUGGGGGGAAGCCUUAUGAGUGUGGGAAAUGUGGAAGAAUUUCUGAACAAUAUGUCAUCUGAUGCUGCACCAGGUGAUCCACACAGGGGAGCGGCCCUACACCUGCUUGGAAUGUGGGAAGAGCUUUGGGUGGAUGUCCGCCCUGAGAAUACACCACUGCAUCCACUUCAGGGAGAGGCCCUAUGAGUGUACUGAGUGUGGGAAGGGCUUCUCACAGAGCUCAGCCAUUAUCCGACACCAAGGGAGGCACCACUAAGGGAGGCCCUGUGAGUGCCCUGAGUGUGGGAAGAGCUUCGUGCUCUGCUCCAGCUCCAUCCCCCAUGGGAGGAUCAGUGUUGGAUUAUCCCCAGUGAUCCCUGUUGGGCAGAGCCCUGGUGAUUCGUGGUCGUGGUGAUUCCCUCUUGUGUGAGGGGAAGGGGUUGGAAAGAUUUCUUUCCCUUCUUGUCCUGCUGUGAUUUGAUUGGUAAUAAAUUCCCUCCCUGUGUCCAGGCUGGGUCUGUGAUGCCCGUUUUGCUACUUGGUGAGGGAUGUUUCUCCAUCUUGAACUGGCGCAGGAAUUCUUGGUUAAAUUUUCUCUCCCCUGUUGCAGCUGGAGAGGCAGGGUCAGAGUGGCUCGGUGAGUGCCUGGCAUUGGGCCAGCAUCACCCAGGCCAUGGGCACCCCUGAGAUCCCAGUGUGGUGAUGCAUUCCCCCACUUCUAGGGAAAGUGCCAACCCAUACUGUGGCAGGGAUGAAGCAUCAUUAUGACUGGAGCCCACUCUAUUGUGACCCCAUUAAUAGAAAUCCAAAAGGAGACCUUUGAGCUCUCCUAGGCCACCAUGGGCUGUGACCAGCAGUGUCCCUCUGAGGGGGCCUCUCAGAGCCAGCAAACCUUGGCUUUGCUGUGCCUGGAGGAUCAUUGAAACACGACUUGUCCUGGGCCGAUCCCCUCACUCUUCAAGGCCUGAUCCUUUGCCCAGCAGGAGAUGCAAAAACAUCUAAAGGGAGGAUUUCACUGAGCUCUGAGGGGAAUUUUUCACAGAUACCUUGCUUGCACUGACUGUUCCUGUCUGUGUGUGUGCCCCUGCACAUAUGCUAUAGCAAAUCUGGGAGAAAUACAGCUUUCCUAGAUGUGGAAGUACCUUGGAUAUCUAAGUUAGGCUUGUAAGGAAGGUUCAGUUAUAGUUAUGGACUUACUUAAAUGCUGCUAAGUGUUGUUCUUUUGCUAAGUUGUUAAAUGUAAGUAAUAAACUAUGUGUUAUUUUUCUAUUACGUUGCUAAGUACAACUUGGAAGUUGCAGUUAGAAGUUAGGUUAAAUGCUGUUAUGUGUUACUGCUCAUUUGAAUUGUGAAUUCAAAAGUUAAGUUCGGUGUAAGUUCAGUGUUUUUCCUCUGUUGAAUUGCUAGCCUAAGCACUAAGUUAAGUUACAAAUUAAGGUAGAAGUUAAAGUGCUGCUCAGUAUUGUUAGGUUUUUAGGCCGUGUUCCUUUUUGCCCACACUGUCUUUUGUCCCAUGCACCUAAACACAGCACACACCCACAUUCCCUAUAGAGUUCUCAGUUCACUUCUGCUUUGGUUGUCUGGAUUUUGUUUGUUUUGUUGUUGCUUCUUUUCCUUGUUGUGCCUUAGCUGUCCUGUAGGCAGUAGAGUGAAUCUUGCCAACAAACUUUUGCUUCAUUGCUUAAUAUUAAAUCUGACUUUUUCUCAU